rnacentral:rRNA from 1 species
UACGUAGGGGGCUAGCGUUGUCCGGAAUCAUUGGGCGUAAAGAGCUCGUAGGCGGUUUGUCGCGUCUGCUGUGAAAACCCGAGGCUCAACCUCGGGCCUGCAGUGGGUACGGGCAGACUAGAGUGCGGUAGGGGAGAUUGGAAUUCCUGGUGUAGCGGUGGAAUGCGCAGAUAUCAGGAGGAACACCAAUGGCGAAGGCAGAUCUCUGGGCCGUAACUGACGCUGAGGAGCGAAAGCAUGGGGAGCGAACAGG